CCAGGUAUAUUUCCUUUGUAUUAAACGUGUGUCUUAAUUGGAUUUUUUUUCGCGCAUUACAAUAACUUUGCUUGGUUCUCCAACUUAGUUUUGCAGUUUUUUCAGUACUCAGCACGUUAAUUAACGAUGCAAAGCAGGAAACAAUACUUCGAUAAUCCAACAUGAGUGCUCUCCCGGGCUUUGUUAUUCUAAUAUCCUGCUUCUGACAAAAGCUUGAGAAGCAGAAAAUCACGAUUUUAAUCUGCAUUUAUUAAUCUUUUUUUCGUGUGUUUAUUUAUUUAUUUUACUUUUAAAGAAAGUAUGCCAUGAAGGUGUCUUUAUUAAUUUAUUCUUGAAAAAAAGUAUCCCUCGCAUUAAUGUAGGCAAACUUUUAAAAUAUAGUUUGUUUGGAGAGGUUUUUUGGUCAUAGUUCAGCCAUCUUCCAAACCAAGGCAUGCUUUUUAUUUUAUUUAUUUAUUUUUUAUUAUGAUUUUGUUUUUUUAUCUGAGAACUUCCAAAGCUCAGCAAACUCAGAAAAUAAAACGCAUCGAGUAUCGGAAACAUGCAUUAAAUUUUCAUUUUAGAGAAAAAGAGAGGAGAACAGGGACACCGAGUGCUUUUCGAUUGGAGAUGACUCAAAACAGAUCGAUGAUUUAAACCUCGCGGUAUUUUAGCCCCUUUUAUGAAACAGCCAACCCACUGAUAAACUAUUGUGGGGUUUUUUUAAUGAUUUGUGCAGCCUUCUUUUUCAUGCGUGUUAUUACACACGAACAAGCACGAUUCAUUUCCCCCCUAAAGUUUUGACUGCAAGAGUCAAAGCCACGUCGCAACAACGGCCUGAAUUGUAAUAAGAACUGAAGAUAAUAUAAUCAUCCCGAGCCCGCAACGUGACGCACAAACAGAGCAUUUCUAAGAGCAGAUCUAUUUUUUUAAAUAUAUAAAUAUGAGUAAUUUUCCUGGUGGAAAAAAAUAUGGCAUUGCAGUAAAAGGACCUGUUGCUUGUGUUGAUGCUCCACGGCGAGUUUAUCGUAGCC
ensembl:lncRNA